GGGGGAUGAGUAGAGUGGCGCUCGGGUGAGUAACACGUAGGUAAUUUACCUUUGGGUGGGGAAUAACUCAGGGAAACUUGAGCUAAUACCGCAUAAUGCAGCGGCUCGACAUCGAGACAGUUGUUAAAGCGGGGGCUUUCUUCGGAAACCUCGCGCCUAAAGAGGAGCCUGCGGCAGAUUAGCUUGUUGGUGAGGUAAUGGCUCACCAAGGCGGCGAUCUGUAGCCGGCCUGAGAGGGCGGUCGGCCACACUGACACUUAAAUACGGGUCAGACUCCUACGGGAGGCAGCAGUCGGGAAUUUUGGGCAAUGGGCGCAAGCCUGACCCAGCAACGCCGCGUGAAGGAUGAAAUCCUUCGGGAUGUAAACUUCGCAAGAGUGGGAAGAAUAAGAAAGCACGAAUACUGCUUUCGAUGACGGUACCAUUUGUAAGCUCCGGCUAACUCCGUGCCAGCAGCCGCGGUAAUACGGGGGGAGCAAGCGUUGUUCGGAUUUACUGGGCGUAAAGGGCGCGUAGGCGGUCAGCGCAAGUCAGUUGUGAAAUCUCCGGGCUUAACUCGGAUCGGUCAACUGAUACUGCGCGACUAGAGUGCAGAAGGGGCAACUGGAAUUCUCGGUGUAGCGGUGAAAUGCGUAGAUAUCGAGAGGAACACUGCGGCGAAAGCGGGUUGCUGGGCUGACACUGACGCUGAGGCGCGAAAGCU
rnacentral:rRNA from 1 species